rnacentral:tRNA from 1 species
CGAGACUUAGGUUCAAUAAGACCCAGGGCCUUCAAACCCCUAAGUGGGAGUUAGACCCUCCCAGACUCUG